UCCUGUGUUUCCGGUCACCUACAACAUGAAAAUUGUUGGCACCACCAGCCAUCGUUGUCUUCUUCUCAACGUCAUCUUCCUCGUCACUCAGUGUUGUCGGGGAUGCUAAAUCACCACCGCCAUCAUAUGAAGAUUCAAAGUCCAAGCCCUACUUUACCAUCGAAAAAAUCAUCGUUGCAUUCUUCUCGUGUCGCCUCUUCCUGUGUUUCUUCCUUACGCAUCCCUCUCUCUCUCUCUUCCUCUUAGUGUUUGUGAAGCCAUCUGAUUUGUUGGAUCAAAUUGGGAUCCGAUUUGAUGUUUCAUAUUCCUGAUUUGCUGCUUAUAGGGCUAUGAUUUGUUGGGUUUCUUAUCGUAUUUUCUGAAUGGCAGUCUCUCUCCUUUUUCUCAUUGAAUCAAAUUGCAGCGCAGGUAAGGGUUGGCGAACCAAAAGAUGGAUUUAGGGGCAUUCAAAAAUCUGCAACAGAAGCUUUUCCAAUAGGGAAGAAAUAUUGCCUAAUUCGAGAGAGUUGCUUCUAUGUAUCAACAACGUGAAAACAAAACCUUAAAGAGAGUUUCCUAAUUCGAUUACCCUCGGAAAACAUCACCCUAAACAGGACCCAAAAAUUUCAUUGUUGAAAUCCAGACAUUUUUUUAUGAUGGCGCAGUUUAUGAUGGAGUUACAUGGCUUAAAAAUCGUUGAUGGUGAAUACCCACCAAUGAUACAUGUUAUGGAUGCAAUAACAAUCUGCUCAUCGUUGUUCAAGAUGGAAUUCCAUGAAGAAAUCGUUGAUGGUCAAGUCAAAUGUUAGAGGUGGAUAUGGGUGAAGAAAAUGGAGGUUGAUGAUGAUGGUUGGUUAAGAUGACAGAGAUGCUGGUGUUUGGUGUUCAACGCUUCAAGGUGGGUGUGAUGUUGGGUGUUAUGUUAUCAGAACUCAAACAUUAAGAAAGAAGAAAAAAAACAACUAGAAAAGAGAGUUGGGUGAGGCUAAAUUGUUAUACGGUAUGGUUUGUUAUCUAUAUGGAUUAUAUGACAUGACUAUUAAAAAAUAAAUACAAAUUAACUAUUAACGCCA